rnacentral:lncRNA from 1 species
UUCUGUAAUUCCCCUGAAAUCUGGCAUUAACUAACUUUCUUUCCACCUGCCUCAAUUCCCCGGUAAAUCCCAGGCUGAAGUCACCCCACCCAACCACCCCUUGCAUGAAAAGGUUGCUAACAGAUGGCCGCCUAACCAGAAGCAACGCCAAGAAAUCAUUUGGAAACAGAACUUAGCAACAGACAUGCACAGAAGAACCUUUCCCAAAAGGGAUGCCAAUAUGCAGGUGGGCUCUACAGCCAGCAGGACAGUCUAUGUGCCCAGGAGCGAGGAGAAGAUCCCCAUCUUCCCUGCAGACCCCAUGGCCUGUGCCAGGAGGGGACGCAUGUCAUGAGGAAAGGCAGGCAGGGAGCUGGGUAGAGAGCAACACGAAGAGGGCAGAGUCAGGAGGCAACAAAGUCAGGCAAGCCCCAGCAAGGAAGAAGACGGACGGACGGACGGAUGGACGGACGGAUGGAUGGAAGGAAGGAAAGAAGGAAAGAAGGAAGGAGAUGGGCUAUUGUAUGCUCUCACGAGAAAUUCUUGGUCUGAAGUAAUUACUUGUGUUUUUUUUUCUCCCCUGCUGAAACAAGCCAAUCUCCUUCCAACUGUUUCCCCUCCCAUUAUACCAAGUCAGAAGAAAUCUCUGCUAGCCCAGUGCAUGCCUUUCCUGCACCACCAUUUUUGGCUUUAUUUAUACUAUAAUCAUUUCACUACAGUACAAAACUGUCUUCUUCUCAUGGGCUGAAUAAUUCUCCAAGAG